rnacentral:rRNA from 1 species
GACGAACGCUGGCGGCGUGCUUAAUACAUGCAAGUCGAACGAUGUGGCGAACGGGUGAGUAAUACGUGAUUAACCUUCCAUCCUUUUCGGGUUAAGCCUUGGAAACGCGGUCUAAUACCGAAUAAAGGGGUAUGGGCUUGCGGCGUAUCAGGUUGUGGGGGGGGUGAUGGCCUACCAGGGCGGUGACGGGUAGCCGGCCUGAGAGGGUGACCGGCCACAGUGGGACUGAGAUACGGUCCAGACUCCUACGGGAGGCAGCAGUGGGGAAUAUUGGGCAAUGGACGAAAGUCUGACCCAGCAAAGCCGCGUGUGUGAAGAAGGUCUUCGGAUCGUAAAGCACUGUAGGUUGAGAGGCGGUACCUAAAGAGAAAGCAACGGCUAACUACGUGCCAGCAGCCGCGGUAAUAC